AUACGGAGUUACAAAGGACGACAUUAGACGAAUCAUCUGGAAAGAUGAAUCAAAGAAGGUAAUAAUCCUGUAGUCGAAAAUGUUGUCUCUCUUGAGUGGAUCCUGAGUACGACGGAGCACGUGAAAUUCCGUCGGAAUCUGGGAGGACCAUCUCCUAAGGCUAAAUACUCUCUAGUGACCGAUAGUGAACCAGUACCGUGAGGGAAAGGUGAAAAGCACCCCGGAAGGGGAGUGAAAUAGAACCUGAAACCGUGUGCUUACAAGUAGUCAGAGCCCGUUAAUGGGUGAUGGCGUGCCUUUUGUAGAAUGAACCGGCGAGUUACGAUUUGAUGCAAGGUUAAGCAGUAAAUGUGGAGCCGUAGCGAAAGCGAGUCUGAAUAGGGCGUUUAGUAUUUGGUCGUAGACCCGAAACCAGGUGAUCUACCCUUGGUCAGGUUGAAGUUCAGGUAACACUGAAUGGAGGACCGAACCGACUUACGUUGAAAAGUGAGCGGAUGAACUGAGGGUAGCGGAGAAAUUCCAAUCGAACCUGGAGAUAGCUGGUUCUCUCCGAAAUAGCUUUAGGGCUAGCCUCAAGUGAUGAUUAUUGGAGGUAGAGCACUGUUUGGACGAGGGGCCCCUCUCGGGUUACCGAAUUCAGACAAACUCCGAAUGCCAAUUAAUUUAACUUGGGAGUCAGAACAUGGGUGAUAAGGUCCGUGUUCGAAAGGGAAACAGCCCAGACCACCAGCUAAGGUCCCAAAAUAUAUGUUAAGUGGAAAAGGAUGUGGCGUUGCCCAGACAACUAGGAUGUUGGCUUAGAAGCAGCCAUCAUUUAAAGAGUGCGUAAUAGCUCACUAGUCGAGUGACACUGCGCCGAAAAUGUACCGGGGCUAAACAUAUUACCGAAGCUGUGGAUUGUCCUUUGGACAAUGGUAGGAGAGCGUUCUAAGGGCGUUGA
rnacentral:rRNA from 1 species